AUUGAACGCUGGCGGCAUGCUUUACACAUGCAAGUCGAACGGUAACAGGCCGCAAGGUGCUGACGAGUGGCGAACGGGUGAGUAAUGCAUCGGAACGUGCCCAGUCGUGGGGGAUAACGCAGCGAAAGCUGUGCUGAUACCGCAUACGAUCUAUGGAUGAAAGCGGGGGACCGUAAGGCCUCGCGCGAUUGGAGCGGCCGAUGUCAGAUUAGGUAGUUGGUGGGGUAAAGGCCUACCAAGCCGACGAUCUGUAGCUGGUCUGAGAGGACGACCGGCCACACUGGGGCGGAGACACGGUCCUGACUCCUACAGGAGUCAGCAGUGGGGAAUUUUGGACAAUGGGCGCAAGCCUGAUCAAGCAAUACCGCGUGCAGGAAGAAGGCCUUCGGGUUGUAAACUGCUUUUGUACGGAACGAAACGGCCUGGGUUAAUACCCUGGGCUAAUGACGGUACCGUAAGAAUAAGCACCGGCUAACUACGUGCCAGCCGCCGCCGUAACAC
rnacentral:rRNA from 1 species